GAGCCUAUCAGGAAGAGUACAUAAUAAGUA
rnacentral:piRNA from 1 species